rnacentral:rRNA from 1 species
GGGAUAUUGCGCAAUGGGCGAAAGCCUGACCCAGCAACGCCGCGUGAAGGAUGAAGGCCUUCGGGUCGUAAACUUCUGUCGAGAGGGAAGAAUGCGUACGGGUGAACAAUCCGUGCGUGUGACGGUCCCUCCACAGGAAGCACCGGCUAACUCCGUGCCAGCAGCCGCGGUAAUACGGAGGGUGCAAGCGUUGUUCGGAUUCAUUGGGCGUAAAGCGGGUGUAGGCGGUCAGACAAGGCGGUUGUGAAAUCCCGGGGCCCAACCCCGGAACUGCGUCCGAUACUGUCUGGCUAGAGUCCCGGAGAGGGUGGCGGAAUUCCCGGUGUAGGGGUGAAAUCCGUAGAUAUCGGGAGGAACACCAGUGGCGAAGGCGGCCACCUGGACGGUGACUGACGCUGAGACUCGAAAGCGUGGGUAGCAAAC